GAUGAACGCUGGCGGCGUGCCUAAAACAUGCAAGUCGUGCGGCAGCGGGCCUUCGGGUGCCGGCGAGCGGCGGACGGGUGAGUAACGCGUAGGAACGUACCCCAAAGUGAGGGAUAAGCUCCGGAAACGGAGUCUAAUACCGCAUAUGCUCUUAGGAGGAAAGGAGUAAUCCGCUUUGGGAGCGGCCUGCGUCCGCUUAGGUUGUUGGUGAGGUAAUGGCUUACCAAGACGAUGAUCGGUAGCUGGUUUGAGAGGAUGAUCAGCCACACUGGGACUGAGACACGGCCCAGACUCCUACGGGAGGCAGCAGUUAGGAAUUUUCCACAAUGGGGGCAACCCUGAUGGAGCAACGCCGCGUGCAGGAAGACGGCCUUCGGGUUGUAAACUGCUUUUAAAAGUGAAGAUUAUGACGGUAACUUUAGAAUAAGGAUCGGCUAACUCCGUGCCAGCCGCCGCCGUAA
rnacentral:rRNA from 1 species